rnacentral:rRNA from 1 species
GACUGCGAGUCAUGCGUCUCUAGCUAUGUUGAGACGCGGCAGACGGCUCAGUAACGCGUGGCUAACCUACCCUCAGGACGAAGAUAACCCCGGGAAACUGGGGAUAAUAUUCGAUAGGUGAGGAUGUCUGGAAUGACUUCUCUCCUAAAGGACUUAGAUACAUGCUUCUAUUUCGCCUGGGGAUGGGGCCGCGCCCGAUCAGGUUGUUGGUGAGGUAACGGCUCACCAAGCCUAUAACCGGUACGGGCCGUGAGAGCGGUAGCCCGGAGAUGGGUACUGAGACAAGGACCCAGGCCCUACGGGGCGCAGCAGUCGCGAAAACUCCGCAAUGCACGAAAGUGUGACGGGGCUACCCCGAGUGCCAUCCGCUGAGGAUGGCUUUUCUUUGGUAUAACUAGCCAUGGGAAUAAGGAGAGGGCAAGACUGGUGUCAGCCGCCGCGGUAAUACCAGCUCUCCGAGUGGUAGGGAUGAUUAUUGGGCUUAAAGCGUCCGUAGCCGGCUUAGCAAGUUUCCUGUUAAACCCAGCGACUCAAUCGUUGGAUCGCGGGAAAUACUACUAGGCUAGGAGGCGGGAGAGGUCAACGGUACUUCUGGGGUAGGGGUGAAAUCCUAUAAUCCCGGGAGGACCACCAGUGGCGAAGGCUGUUGACUAGAACGCGCUCGACGGUGAGGGACGAAAGCUGGGGGAGCGAACCGGAUUAGAUACCCGGGUAGUCCCAGCUGUAAACGAUGCAGACUCGGUGAUGAGUUGGCUUAUUGCUAACUCAGUGCCGCAGGAAGCCGUUAAGUUUGCCGCCUGGGGAGUACGGUCGCAGACUGAACUA